rnacentral:rRNA from 1 species
GUUAGGAAUAUUGGACAAUGGGCGCAAGCCUGAUCCAGCCAUGCCGCGUGAGAGAUGAAGGCCUUCGGGUUGUAAAGCUCUUUAGUCCACGAAUAUAAUGACUGUAGUGGAAGAAUAAGCCCCGGCUAACUUCGUGCCAGCAGCCGCGGUAAUACGAAGGGGGCGAGCGUUAUUCGGAAUCACUGGGCGUAAAGCGUGCGUAGGCUGUUUUGUAAGUCAGAAGUGAAAGCCCAGGGAUUAACCCUUGAAUUGCUUUUGAAACUACAAGACUCGAAUUCGGUGGAGGAUAGCGGAAUUGUCAGUGUAGCAGUGAAAUGCGUAGAUAUUGACAGGAACACCAGUGGCGCAAGCGGCUAUCUGGACCGAUAUUGACGCUGAGGCACGAAAGCGUGGGGAGCAAACAGGAUUAGAAACCCGAGUAGUCC